ACUGGAGGACUAAUCAGACUGAGUCUGAAGAGUGGGACUCAGUUGACAGUGAUCUCCUAGAAGAAAAGGGAUGGAGAGAGCAGUCCUAUGUAGAAGAAAGCAAAGGGCCCACUGUGCCAUCCAACAGUG
rnacentral:snoRNA from 7 species